CUCAUGGUGUGCUUUUAAGAAUAAAAACCAUGUUGUGGGUUGACACACUUCAGUUAACAAGAAGAGUUAGCCAGAAGCAGAAGUACAGAAGCCAUGAGCAAGUCUUUGGUGCCUUUUAAAUUAUCAUGUACACAUGUGUGGGUUUGAGGUGUAUGCACAAGGACAAGACUCCCAGACCUCCACCUGAUGUUUGGCUGUGGGUCUCUGCAUCUGUUUCCAUCCACUGCUGGAUUAAGCCUCUCUGAUGACAGCAUCUCCGGGUCACUGACAUGGGAGGGACUGAAGAACACUCUCAGAGUUGACACUGGUUCUCGCAUAAUGCUGACCUGAAGAGCUGCUGCCGUUUCUAAAUGCCACUGCUCACAAGGGGAUCUGAACAUAGGCUCUUCCCAUCUCUCAUCAGAUCCCAGUGGGUUCCUUCCCAUGGCAACGGUUUUGAAAACUACAGAACAUUUGUAAAAGAAGAAAAUCAUUCCUGAUCUACAAAUUUUGAUCCCUUUCAAACCACCUGUAGCACUCUGAGUUGAUGGACUGAUAGCUACCUGUGUAAACUGCCUUGGACACACGCUGCCUCCCCUGGCAGGCUCGACCAUGUGCUCGGGCCACUGGAAUUGAGUUGACUGACCGGACAUCUAUCACCUGGGAGCAGGAACGUUGGUGCUUGCAGACUUUGGCUUGGCCUCCUUACUUCUGCCAUAAAGGUCAAAGUCCAAGAUUGCCGCUCCUUCGAUCCAGCAUCUUGAAGAGGACGAAUCAAGAAGGCCUGGCAUAGCUCCCAGGCCUGAGCAUAUUCCUCAGCCAACUUGCAGCUCCAGGGAGGAAUCUGUAGUUAUGUCUGUUUAUAUUACUGUCUGUGUGAGUAUACACGUGUAUGUGCACUACCGCAUUCUUGUGAAAAGCCAAGAACUUUCAGACAUAUACUCGCUCCUUCCUCCGUGAGACCCAAGGAUCCAACAGCUCACCAGCUUUGUGCAUUGCUUUUUCCUGCCAAGCCAUCUUACUGGGCUUUAAAAAUGUAUUUGGACCUUAGGGGUUUUUUGUUUUAGAUAGUCUCCCAUUGGCAUAGACCUCAACAAUGUGGCUACCUGGCUCACAAGCCCAGGGGAGCCUCACUUUGCGUUCUCUACACUGGGAAUAUAAGCUCAUACACUACAGCUGGCUUUUGUGGGGUUCUGAGGCUCACACAGCCACACAUUUACUGAGCCAGUUGACCAGCCCAGCUACUAAGUUCUUGGAAGUUGUGAAGAAGCUGAGACAUCCCUUUGUAGAAGUUGUGACAAACAGACCUGCACGCAAGUGUGGAGUCACCGUGCUGUGUGGCCAUCAGUCAACAACCGACCACAGUCCUCCACUGACACUCACCUAAGACUGAAUGGAACUGAGACCUGACUGGGGACAGAGACUUAGGGAUGUCUGUAGCAUGUGUCUGACAGUGGCUCGCCAACACUCCUCCCAUUGCUGGGAGAAUACAACUGAGCACUGCAGACCCUCCUAACCAACCCUUCCGUUGCUCCAGAAAUAUCUGCUAUUCCAUCCCUAAAUGUUUUAAAAUUAUUUUGUGCAUAUGGGUAUUUUUUUAAUAUGGAAGGUUUCACGGAUUUGCAUAGUAUCCUUGCGCAGGGAUUCUAAUCUUCUGUGCAUCAUUCCAAUUUUGUUAUAUGUGCUGCUGAAGCAAGCAUACAUAGAUCUCCUAGAACUGGAAUUAGAUGGUUGUGAGCCACCACCUGAAUGCUAAGAAUUGACCCCAGGUCCUCUGGAAGAGCAGCUGAUGCUCUGACCGUUGAGCCAUCUCUCCAAGCCCCAUCUUUAUGUCUUACUAGGGCGAGAAGCUGUUGUUAUCAGAUACUUUGUGGGGAUGGAGGAGAGGUAGGGGUGCGGUGAGCGGGGAGGUAGAGAGGAAGUAGGUAGUAAGGUAGCAGUGAGAUAGGGUGGCUGCCUGAAGCUCAGGUGCAGUUCACCCAGAAGCCAGCAGCAUUCCUUCAUGCUUCUCAGCUUUCUCUCUAGCACAGGGAUCACUAUGAGGAGCACCUCCUUGGUGUCCCUAGGAGCCCUGAGGUUUUAUUGAGAAGUGAAUCAGCAAUGCCCUGUGUAGAAAGCACCCCCUCCACUGCUGCUCAGUACUGCCGCACAGUCUGCUGGUUGGUCCAAACCACCUAUGUUGCAAGUACAAAGAACCCCUGGUAGCUUUGCAUGUUGUUCCUUAGCAUGUAAACAGGCAUUAUUUUCACAUGGUUUUGAAUGAUGCUAAAAUACUCAAUUCAUCUUGUUUGUGCAUAUGCUUAAACCAGAGGGGAACGUUAGGCGGCUUCCUUUAUUGUUCUCCACCUUUAUAAAGAAAACUAACU
ensembl:lincRNA 3830432H09Rik RIKEN cDNA 3830432H09 gene